UUAAAUCUGCAUAAUAACCUUACUCUUGUUUACUGUGCUUUAGUGGUAAUCUCCUGUAACUGACUCCCCCCACCCCCAACAUCCUCCUUUGUCAUUGGCUGAACAUGGUAUUUAAGACGAGAAUUUCUGCUAUUGUGUUGAGAAACGCAGUGUUCCUGCUUUCUCCCAUGUAUACAUGUUAUUAAACUUGGUAUUAUUUUCUCCUGCUAACCUGUCUUGUUGAUUAUUUGGCCAGCCAUAAGAACCUUAAGGGAAAGGGCAGAGGGAGAUUCUUCCUCUUCCUCCAACACUGUGGAUUGAAAUAAGUGGUCAGCGGCACAAAGCUACACACGGAUGUCCACGCAGCGUUGUCGACAGUGGGGAGGAGUGACCAGCAGGAGCACAAAUGCCCUGGCUCAGGACUUAGACUCGGGGCGACCCACCCUAGUGUGUAUGGUAGAGCUGCCACACAAGCAAAGGCUUCGAGUGGAGAUGACCGUGCUCACCACUGCGAGGACUAGAGAAAACAAUUGUGCAGAGGGACUGAGCUCAUUGCCUGGCACACAGCAUGACUCAAAAAAGUAAGAGUUUUGGGCCGGCCCCGUGGCUUAGCGGUUAAGUGUGUGCGCUCCACUGCCGGCGGCCCGGGUUCGGAUCCCGGGCGCACAUAGACGUACCGCUUCUCUGGCCAUGCUGAGGCCGUGUCCCACAUACAGCAACUAGAAGGAUGUGCAGCUAUGAUAUACAACUAUCUACUGGGGCUUUGGGGGGGAAAAAUAAAUAAAUAAUAAUAAAAAAGUAAGAGUUUAAACAACCCAAAUGUACCUCAAUGGGAGAUUUAUUAAAUAUAUUAUGGUACAUUCACACAAUGGAACGUUCUGCAGCCAAUAACAAGAAUAAAAUAGAUCUACAUACAUGGAUAUGGAAAGAAGUCCACAAUAUACUGUAAAGCUAAGAAAUGCCACAAAAUAGUUGUAUAGAGUAGUUUUAUUUAUAAAAGUGUACUUGUAUGAAUAAACAUGAAACUGGUAAUGAUUUUUUUUUUUGGAAGGUGCAGUAAGGUGCUGGGGGCUGGUAUUUAUAAGGAACUUUUCCUUUCUACUUUGUAAUUUCCUACACCUGAUUUCUUAUUACAACAAUUGUGUAUCACAAUUAUAACCAGAAAAAUAAAGGUUUUCUAUUUCAAGGAACACAAUUGAAAUUUAUGGAUAAUUUUUGUCAGUUAGUAGUUCUGAUUAACUGUAUAAUAAUUUUCUUAGAUUCUAAAAUAUCUGGUUGAAAUUUUUAUUGAGAUUGCCUUAGAUUUACAGAUGAAUUUGGGGAGAAAGUCUUCCCACCUGGGAACAUUUUUUAAUGGUUGUUUUGUUUUUAUAUUUGUUUAAAUUUUCUUUUCAGACCUUCAAUCAAAUUUUAUAUUCUUCUUCAUAUAGGCUCUAAAUAUCUCUAAUUACAUAUUUCACAGCACUUUUUCUAUUUUGAAUGGAACCAUUUGUAAAAUAUAUCCUCUAGUUGGUUAUUGCUGAUAUACAAUAUAUUUUGAGUGACCAUGAAGAUACAUGGACUACUGUGCAGGCAUGGAUGAGAAUAAGAGACCUAUGCUUCUCCAGACUUGAGAGCUGGGAUGGAUUCCAAAGUUCCCUGUUCUCAUCUUUCAUACGCAGAGGAAAGAGCCUAGGUUUACUCGAGCUUCCUCUGCCAGAUGGGAGCUGCUCUGAGCAGCAGGGAAGGUGCACCAGCCCCAGCCGUCCCAGCAGUGAGGAGAGCUUCUGGAUCUCUGGAAGAGCAUGUCUGCAGUGGCAGCCUCAGGUGGGCCUGGCAGGACAGCCAUGUCCUAGCUGCUGUAGCUGUCCACUUUAGGAGCAUUUCUAGCUCAGCUGUGCAUACCACAUCCAUGUCAAGUCUCAGCCAGAAGCAAGACUCAUGGAAAUCCCUGCUCUGGAUGGUCCCCAGCACCUGGGUCACUCACAGAGGCACUGCCAGCCCUACAGGCUGCUCCCGCCCAUGGGCACCCUCUCCUCCAGCAUCUCCAAUGUGACAAGCACAGCAGCCCCCAGUGGGCUCUGCCCUCCCACCCAGGUGGCCUGCUCCUCCACAGGCUGUCCUCAGCACCCGCCUGCUCUGUGCUUUUUCAAGCAGACCCUUCAACGUUUCUUCCAUGCACUGGGCAACCUCGCCUAGCUCACAAGACCAAUAUAGAUUUGUCCUUAUUUCAAUCAGAAUCCAAAAGAAGAACUUGAAGUAAAUUCCUAAUUUCACACUGACUUCCUAACCAGACUCCAGGCUUUUAGAACUCUUUGUUUAUUUUGCCUCACUGGAUGUUUUUCUUCCCACUUAAAUGAGUGUGUUGCUAUUCACACUAAUUUGUGUCUUAGUAUCAAAAGCAUCUUAUAUGUGAAAACAUGUUGCAAGCCCAAAUAGGCCAUACAAAUAUAAGGUACUAUUACGAUAG